AUCCCCAGCAACGUCUACCUAAAGAAGGAAAGGCCAGUUUGCAUUUCAAUCGAAGGUCAUGGAGAUCAUUACGAAAAGGUGUCAUACAGUGGAGAAGAGGUUGGGUGAGAACGGUACGUUUUGCAUCAUUAUCAAGAAGGUAAAAAAAGCCGCAAGGCUUGAGAGGAGGGGUGAGAAAAAUUUUUAUAAAAGGCGGGAGAAAGUCGAUAGGUAUCAGUCGAGUGAGUGUCUCCGACACGGCAACAGCUGCAGUAUUCGUCGUAAUAUCAGUUCGCAAUUAUGGUUAAUUAUGGCGUUGUGUUGCUGUUGGGUGUUGUAUCGUUGAUGUUGACCACGAGAGAAAAUCUUUUAAAAGGAAAGAAAAAGGGCAACGGAAGUCAAUCGAGUAAGCAUCUCCGAACGGCAGCAGCUGCAUUCUUCGUCGUAUUAUCAGGUCACAAUCACGGAUGAUUUGGUUGUGGCCAGACCCGACCAAAUUUUUUGCUUUCCACUCUCUCCUAAUUAUCUCUCUAAAUGGGUUCCUGAUUUGUUUGAUGAUCGUGUGUCAUCAAAUUUGACUAGAGUUCUGAAUUCUUAGUGAUGGACUGUUUGCAGAAUAAAAUAGAAUUUGACUGAUGAUACAUAUAUUUGGCCAGGAUUCAGACGCUGGCCAGGAUGGCGAUGUUGGUGGAUGAGACGCGUCGCAACCAUCUCUAAUUCACCAAAGUCAAUCUGCAGACGGGUUGGUGAACGCUUGAAGGUCACGGGAUUAGGUAAAACUGUCGUCUGUCGUGCAGUGGUGUGCAGUGCAGUGCAGAGGUUGGGUGAGAACCAUGCAGUGGUGUAGAGGUUGGGUGAGAAAGUCUGUGCAGUGGUGUAGAGGUUGGGUGAGAACCGUGCAGUGGUGUAGAGGUUGGGUGAGAACGACACGUGUUGCUUCAUUUCCAAGCAGGUACAAUUGCCGCAAGGCUUAGGAGGUGAGUCAGGGUAAGAAAAAGUAGUAUAAAAGGAGAGAGAAAAGUCAGUUUGAGAUCAGUCGAGUGAACAUCUCCGACACGGCAACUACUGCUGCGCACCAUUGGUAACCAACCUCCUUCUUCAUCGUUUAACCAGUUCGCAAUCACGGUUAACUAUGGCGUCGUGCUGCUGUUGGGUGUUGUAUCGUUGAUGGCUGGGUCGACCACUGGUGUACCGAUGUCUCCUGGGUCCGCAAUGCUGCUGCCUCCCACACAACAACAACAUACGCAACCACCGGAUACUACACCACCAAGGCUCCAGAGUCCUACCACAACUUAGGAUGCCCCGAGCUACUACACCGAAGCUCUGAAGUAUAACUCUACCCCGAGCCACACCAACAAAGAUCCGGCGUACAACACCAAGGCUCCCAAGUACUACACCACUAAGGCACAGGAAUACUACACGAUUACGUAUGCUGCCCCUGCCUACUACACCGAGGCCCCUAAUUACUACAACACUGAAGCACCCAAGUACUACACUACAACCUACACUGCCCUAAGCUACUACAUUAACGCCCCGAAGGAUUACUCUGCGUAAAAGGAGUCGUUAAAAAAGAAGAUGUAAAAAGGAGUGAGAAAAGCAGGUGCAAUUGCCGCAAGGCUCGAGUUGAAAGGUGAAUCAGGAGAAGGAAAAAUCCGAUUGAACGAGAGAAAGGGCGAUGGAAAACAGUCGAAUGAGCAUAACAACUGGAUUGUUCAUCGUUAAACCAGUUCAUAAUUAUGGUUAACUGUUGCUUCGUUGUGUUGUUGAUCGUUGUAUGGCUGGGUCGACCACUGUGGUCGGUGUACCGAUGUCUCCUGGUUAUAGCUGAUAGCCUGAUACCAAACCGCAAUGCCGCCGCCUAACUACACAACAACUUUAACGACCAGUUACAACACCGAGGCCUAGACCGAGACCCACAAAUACUACACCACCAAGUCACCGAAGUAGGAUACGAUAACUUGCGCUUCGCCGAGCUAAUACACCGAUCCCCCGAAUUAUUACUUUGCCUCCAGUUGCACCACCAAGUCAGCGAAGUACUACACGACUACGUAUCCUGCUUAUCUUACUACACCGAGGCUCCAGCUACUACACCGAGGCUCCAGCUACUACACCGAGACUCCAGCUACUACACCGAGACUCCAGCUACUACACCGAGGCUCCAGCUACUACACCGAGGCUCCAGCUACUACACCGAGGCUCCAGCUACUACACCGAGGCUCCAGCUACACAACCACGACUGAUGCGGUCAAGGUUUACGUAGCCCCAACUUUCUACUCAACUACUGCCCCUUCGUAUUACGUUGAACCGAAAUACUGCACUGAAGCUUCAGGUUACUACACCGAAAAUCUGAAGUAUUACUCUGCUCAUAGUAACUACACCACUAAGGCACCUGAAUAGUACACUAAGACAUACGCUUCUCCAGAUUUCUAGAAGGAUUCUAAAUGCCAGAGCUGAUAUGAUGGAAAAUCUGUACACAUACAUAUACACAAUAUCAUAAUAGUUACUAGUCACUAGGAAUUGUUCUUUGAUGAGAAAAUAAAGUUUUUAAUCUGAGUAA